rnacentral:rRNA from 1 species
UACGUAGGGGGCAAGCGUUGUCCGGAUUUAUUGGGCGUAAAGAGCGUGUAGGCGGUCAGGUAGGUCCGUUGUGAAAACUCGAGGCUCAACCUCGAGACGCCGAUGGAAACCAUCUGACUAGAGUCCGGAAGAGGAGAGUGGAAUUCCGUGGUGUAGCGGUGAAAUGCGCAGAUAUCAGGAAGAACACCCGUGGCUAAGGCGGCUCCUCGUAGUAACGGUACUGACGCUGAGACGCGAAAGC